rnacentral:lncRNA from 1 species
AUAGGCUCUACAAUCCUUUCUAUGAGUACUAAAUGGAUACAAGUUAUAUAAGACUCAGAGUAAAUAAACAAUCGACUAUGCGCAUCUACCCUAAGGCGGAAAACACACCUCCCAUUGUUUGUUUGAUCAUAGUUGUAUAUAACCCUGGUGUAUACACUUGUUACUCAUGGAGUUAAUUGUAAUAGUUCCUUUAUAUUUAAUAAAAAGAUUCUUUAAGAAAACCCUUAUUUAUUAUAAUAAAAUGGUGACCACAGUGAUUACUUCUAUAAUCACUUAGUUUAUACUGGAUAUAUAUAAUCUAAUCUCGAAUAGAUAGUUAAUUGUAUGAAUCUGCCCUAAGCCCACAACCAAACAAGGAACAGGAAGAAAGGCGGAAAGCACACAUCCAACUACCUAUUGGGUAUUAAUGAUAUGUAACCAUGAUGUAUAAAUGAAGGUAUCAUAGAGUUAAUCACCAAAGUUCCUUUAAAUUUAUACUGGUUUAAUAAAAUGGAUUAAACCUUGUAUUGGGAAGUUCUAAUUUUUGAAUACCAAAAGUUCUUAUUUGAAAUGUAUAUUUUUGUACUAGAAAACUGUGUAUCGAAUUAGUGUCCUAUGACUUGACCCAUACUUGGUACCCUUAUGAUGACUUAACAUAUACGAAGCAUAUAUGUAUCUAGAAUCAAAUAGAUAAUAGACUGGGUGAAUCCGUUCCAAGACCACAACCAAACAAGGAACAGGAAGUGAAGCGGAGAACACACAUCCUAUUAUUUGUAGGAUCCUAUUGAUAUGUAGAUCCUUUGAUGUAUACAUUAAGGAAUCAUAAGGUUAGCAUUAUGGUCACAUUCUACUAAAAGUAAUCUUCUACCAAGGCAUCAAAUGUGAUGUAUGAGUAUAAAAAUGUAAGUUUUUCCCUAGUUUAUAACUAUCUUAACUCAAAAUAGUUUGUAUUUGACUUUCAAGUGUAAAAAUGAAAGUUUUUCACAUUCAUGUUCUAGUAUGUAUGUAUUAGUGUAGUGUAUGUCCUCCCUGACUCUCGGCAUAGUAUGUUCUUUAGUAUAGUAUUUAGUGUGUGUGAAUAGUAUGUACUAGUGUAGUGUAUGUCCUCCCUGAUUCUCAGCAUAGUAUGUACUAGUGUAGUGUAUGUCCUCCCUGACUCUCAGUAUAGUAUGUAUUGACUCAUGUAUGAACUGACUCUUGUAUGUUUAAUAGUAUUAGAAAUAAUGAAUAGUAUGUUCCUAAACUAUACCUAUUAUAGUUUACUAAUGUUCUACUUAAACUAGAUAUUGAAAAGACUCAUUUAUCAACUAGGUUAUGCUUGUACUUUAAAAAUGGAGUUUUGUCAAACUAUAAAGCAACAUAACUUAAAAAGAGUAUUGAAAUGUUUUGAUCACUCAUAAAGGACAUAAGCAAUCCUUUGAAAGAUGUAUAUAACAAACAUUUUACACAAUUAUAAUUGUGUUCAACUUGUAUUCCCCCUUAACGCAUUUAAAACAGUUAAAAGAUUCAUUACGGGUAUGAACUCACCUGAUGUGGGUGUUUCAACAAAUACACGCGUAAGGAUAAGAAGUUCCAUAAAUGAAGUCCCGAGACAAAAUAAGUCCUAAAUGACAUAUAAUGGUAUGAAUAUAGUGUUUAUAAGUAACUAUAUGAAAGGAAACACCUUUCGGGACUAGGAAUCACUUUAACCCAGUUGGAAUCACAUGUGAUUGGACUAAGGAAGGUGGAAUGACUCUAACAUGAGUUUAAUACCAUGGGCUUACCGCCCAAAGGAGUUUACAGCCACAAACUCAUUGUCAAAGACGUAUAUGAGUGUGCUUUAAGGCUAGGGAAGCUUGAGGGACAUUUGCUCUACACAAGGAUGAGAAAGGUAAGCCAAUGGAGAGUGUUGAGGUGUUUACGGCCCAAGGAGUUUACUCCUGGCCUUAAACUCUCUAAAUGGUCACAUUUAGGUUCUUAAAGGUAAGGAGUCUCAAGGGUUCAAGUGUUCUAAGGUUUAGCAAGAGUCUAGAUGUGUUUAAGGUCCAAGACUUGACCUUAAUUGGAGUUUACGGCCAAAGGUGUUUAAUCUUGGGCCGUAAACUCUCUAAAUGAUGAGUUUGGUGAUGGUUCCAGGUCUUACAAGGCACAUGGAAAUGAUCUAGCCUCAAAUCCAAUCCUUAGGAAGCGUUUAGGGCUCAAAUGGCACCUUUAUAGGGGUUUACGGCCAUGGGAGAUGGCUUGGCCGUAAACUCCUUUUGGUAUUGUGUUUUUGAUGUUUUUAAGUCUCUAAGCAUGAGUCUUAACUAGAUAUCAAGUGUAGGGAAGAGGAGUUACGAUAUAGAGGCUUGAAAUGGUUGAUUUUGGCCAAGAACACUAGUGUGUGUUCUUGGUGUUUUUUGAAGAUCUAAGAAAACAUGAUUUCCAUGGAUGAAUCAUGAGGAUGAAGCUAGUUAAGAAGGACUAACAACAAACUAGAGUAAGAACACUUACACUUUUGAAGAACUAGGAUGAAAAGCUGGAUGAUACUUGAGAGAGAACUCAAGUGUUCUUGAAGUGGAAAUGAACUAAUGAAGGAGGUUGAAGAAUAUGAGCCUAUAUAGGGGAGUUUACGGCCCUCCUUGAUUUUACGGCUGUAAACUCAAGUCCGUGAGGCUGUGAACUCUCCUUGAUGAGGUUAAGGCUGGAUUAGUUCUACAGUGUCUCUAGCAGGUACUUCCUAACAAUUAUUCCUUAAGUGUACUAGGUUCAAUCUCCUUAGAUUGACUUUCAACAACGUUAGAACUCAUUACAAAUUAGUCUGACACUCAGUUGAGUUGACUGACUGGGCUUUCAAAGCAAAAAAUUUCAGGUUGUCACAUCACCCCCCCCAUUAGAUGGAAUUUCAUCCCGAAAUUAGCUUUCUUACGGUACUAUUAGGGUUGCGCUCCUCUGAUUUGCAGAAUACUCACUCGUAGACCUGGCAAUUUUGCCCUAGUGUUCAUAAUAGGAUUCAUACUUGAUCCAUCUGUCAUUACUUCGUGUAUACAAGUCAUAUAUAAUUAGGAUUAGUAAGAUGGUCGGAUGUGCGACUCUGCCCCAGGUCCACAACCAAACAAGGAACAUGAGAUAGGGCGGAAACACACAUACUAGAUCUGCGUAAUCAUAAUCAUAUACCACCCUCUCAUAUACACUAAAUAGUGAUAGGUGGGCUGUCUUUGUCCUUAGCCUUUGUGCUCAAACUUGGUCUGUUGGACAAGUGGUAUUUCGUGACGGUCUGCGGACAUAUGACGACAAGGCUUCGGAGGACAAAGUACCCUUCGCACGAAUACUUCGGGGUUUAGAAUACAAAAGAUAAAACUGGCGUUCAGGUCGGACUGUCGAUACGAAUGACGAAGGUUCCGAGAAUUUGACGGUCGUUGCGAUAGAAACAUAUGAACUUAGUAUGGUGAGGACCACGCCAACUCAUGACGAAUGUUAGUAAUGGACUCUUUACUGAACAAAGUUUUGGGCGAUUAUGAAAGAAACGUCUGUUAUAUGAUGAUGUAUCCCUAGUGUGUUCAACAAUGUACUCCUAGUGUGUUCGACAAUGUAUUCCUCGUGUUCGAAAAUGUACUCUUUUGUAAAUGUCCUAGUGCUUUCUGUUUUCCCUAGAUGUUAACACUCCUAUGUAUCAUACCGCUAUGCACACAUACAUACUAAUGAAAGUGCUAUGAUAACUGGUGAUGAUACUUAAUAUCAUGAUCCUCCUCGGUACCACUACGAUCGCCUGUCAUAUACAAGUUAUGAAUAUUUAAGAUUAACAAGACAGUCAAUUGUGUAACCCUGCCUCAAUCCAUGACCAAAUAAGGAACAAGAAUUAAGGCGGAAAUACUCACUCUAUAUCUGCAACAUCUGAGUUAUUCACAACCCUGAUGUAUAUGCUUAAGCCAUCAUAGCUGCUCUAAACGGAUCUUUUAGUUCUCUUGAAUACUGCGAUCUACUUCCAUAUGUGAGUUAUUAUAUUUACUUUUAAGUGUUUUCCACAAGUUUUAAUAUUAGAUAUAAAUAUAGAUUUAUUUUAUUUUUAAGCAAUUACUAAGUCGAAAACGUACCACCGCUAGGAGGCGACUCCGGGGUUGAUUCUCCUGUGGUGAUCAUCAGAAUGCGUCUGUCUGCGCCUAAGUUCUUUGUUACCGGGCAGUCCCUCUGAUAGUGUCCAGUCUCACCACAGCCAUAACAAGAUUGGUUUUCUUCAGCUCCUGGGACUUGGGAGAUCGGUUGAGCCGGUGCCCUGCAUAAACGGACGGUGUGUCCCCUUCUGUGGCAGUUCAGACACUGCAUUUCCCGGCAUACUCCGAUGUGGUGAUAGUUGCACUUUCCAUACUUUGGGAGGGUUCCAGCAUACCUACUGGCAGGUGCUGAAGCAGCAGGCGUUGUAGCGGCAUAUAUCGUACUCGCUUGUUGCUCUUGUGGGGGUUCAUGUGUUGUUCGCUUCUUCUUCCUCUUGUUCCCCGACUUCUGAUUAUAGUCCUUUCCCUUUGAUGGCUCGGGAACGAGGACUUCUACACCAUGACGGGCUCCAUGGUCAAUGAUUCAUUGGGCCAGGAAUUUGGUGCUAUCAAAUGUGGCUGGGUUAGAAGACAGUUCAUUUCCUUGGGUCGGGGCAGUCAGAACCCAGAUGUACCUUUCUAUCUUCUUGCUCUUCCGGGGUAACCAUCCCGGGGCAUAAUGCUGCAAGGUCCCUAAACCUGUCAGUGUAGGUCACUAUGUCUGAGUCGACCAUGGUGAGCUCCCAUAGUUCUUCUUCCAGUUUCUGAACUUCACCCCUCCGGCAGUACUCUUCCAGCAUCAACUCUUUUAGGUUUUCCCAACCUAUUGAGUUAGCCACCAAUAGGGUCAGUGACUUAACAUGGUUGUUCCACCAUGUUAGCACUCUGUUGGAAAAGGUGCAGGCAGAAAACUUCACUUUGCUCCCUUCUAGGCACGAACAGAUUUCGAAGACCGAAUCUGUUUUCUCGAACCAUCGCAUCAAAGCGAUAACUCCACCAUUUCCAUUAAAGGAAAUGGGUUUGUAGUUUAUGAAGUCCUUGUAGGAGCACUCUCUCAAGCACACAGGGACCUCAUUUGUAGUAGCAUGAACAGGUGUUCCACCUCCGCUGGAACUGGUAGGAUGAUAUUGAGCCAUGGUUGUUGCCACAGCGACAGCUACUGCCGCAUUUAGAGUUGCCGCAUCGAUUUGUGGAGGGGGUGUUGGAGUUAUUUGAAUAGUGCGUCUGAUCGAUCUUCGAGGAGGCAUCUUUUNAUAGCAAAACAACUUUUUCCCAAUUGAAACCUUUUGUUUCCUAUAAUCAACAUUGCUAACUUGCAACACUUCNAGAAUACAAAGAUGAGACGGAAUAAGUCUAGAGCAAUGGACACAAGCUGAUAGCUAAAAAGACUAGGUUAUCCUAGUUCUAGGUGUAUCGGGUCCUGACUUCCUUAGGGUUCUGGAAACAAUUCAUAAAAGAGUUUAUACCGAAUAAACUUCAUGAAUAGAAAUGAAUAUCCUCGAAUGAGUAUCUGUUACCUGAAUAACUGUUACCAGUUGCAUGUAAAGAAAAUAAUCCUAACACAUAAUGUGAGCAGUGUUUCCACUAACUCAUUAAGUCAACUAAGACUAUUGUUUGUUAGUGUGACACAUAAGAAGUUAUUGUUAGUUCGGUUGAUCCUUCUUUAAAACUUCUCAUGAACUUGCUUUUGUUCCUCCUUGACUCUUCUGUUGUCUACUAUGAGGAAGUGGUUACAUCUAUCUGGGUUUGUCAUGCGAGAAUGAAUGUGACUAGAGAAUCUAUGAGAUUUAAGGAAAUUUUAUGGGGUGAUCCUUACAGAGUCCUUCUAUAAUUGUCCAAUGUAUACAAGUUGUAUAUAAUUCAACAUUAAAUAGGCCUUCGAAUAGGUGAUCCUACUCCAAAACCAUAACUAAAUAAGAAAUGGGUGGUGAAGCAUAGAUCACAAAUUCUAAGUCUAUAAGAUCUCAAUUAUAUAAAUCCUUAAGAGUACACAUUGCAAGAUUAUAGACCUAUCCAUAAGGGUCUUUUAUGUUAUCAUGUAAGUUGUUUAUAUAGUGCCUAAAAUACUCCUAUAGUACUCUAUCUCUAUGUACUUGAUCAAGAAUUCUCUUGACUGGANAUAAACCUCAAGUCGUGUGCUAGUGAUAAACUAUAGGUUUUUUCCUUUUGAUUAGAUCUAGAAGCUUUUUUCAAGAUCUUUAAGACUCUCACUGCCCUCNACUGUUGCAACACCACAUCGCUCCCAAACACAUGUCGGUCACAUCUCGAAUGAAUGUAGUUGAUCAGGCUAUAUUGAUCCUAGAUAUGAUUACAUAACUGUUCAAGUUUGACGAUAGUGUUCAACCUUUAAAUACUUUAGUUCUAUUCUUCUUGUGAUACUUGGUCUACAUGUAUAAGCAAGUAGGUAUAUUUUUAUAAUUUAUCAUUAUACUCUUAAAAUAUAUCAUUAUCCAGAGCACUUAAGCCCCCAUUGUAUUUAUAGUUGUAUAUCUUUUAUCAGUUAAUAUACUUAGUUCACUAUAAACAAUGCUCUAAUACCAAUCUGUCUNAUGAUUCCUCUUCUUAGCCAUAAGAAUGCACUAAGAUGUCCUUAGAUAUCACACCCCAAAAAUGGAACAGCGGAAACAUUCGGGGGUGGAGGACAUCAUGUUUAUUAUCACAAGACAUGCGUCAUAGUAAGCAAGUAAUGAACAACCAUUUAAUUAUAAAGGAAGUGUUUACAAUGUGUGUGUUCACAAAACAUAGAAUACAUAAGCAAAUAACAAAACAAGACUUGAAGCUGCUAUGCUCCAUCUUCUGAAUUCCAAGCACGAGUACCUGUCUACUAGUCUCCUGAGAAUACAAGUUAUUUGAAAGAGUUUAUUAACAAUUAAGCUGGUGAGUUCAUAAGAUUUUAGUGAUGUAAGUAAGUUGUAGAAAUUUGUUGAAAAAUGUAGUAAGUUGUAAGUUAUGUUUAGAAAAGUUCGCCCGUUCCUCCAGAAAAUCCUAUAUUUCCUACUUUAAUAAAAGGUAAGUAAAAUAGGCUCUAUAAUCCUUUCUAUGAGUACUAAAUGGAUACAAGUUAUAUAAGACUCAGAGUAAAUAAACAAUCGACUAUGCGCAUCUACCCUAAGGCGGAAAACACACCUCCCAUUGUUUGUUUGAUCAUAGUUGUAAAUAACCCUGGUGUAUACACUUGUUACUCAUGGAGUUAAUUGUAAUAGUUCCUUUAUAUUUAAUAAAAAGAUUCUUUAAGAAAACCCUUAUUUAUUAUAAUAAAAUGGUGACCACAGUGAUUACUUCUAUAAUCACUUAGUUUAUAUCGGAUAUAUAUAAUCUAAUCUCGAAUAGAUAGUUAAUUGUAUGAAUCUGCCCUAAGCCCACAACCAAACAAGGAACAGGAAGAAAUGUGGAAAGCACACAUCCAACUACCUAUUGGGUAUUAAUGAUAUGUAACCAUGAUGUAUAAACGAAGGUAUCAUAGA